UAUCUGUCAUUUAGGAGUUAAGUCACUUUGUUUAUACAGCCCUAGUCACAUCUCAAUACAUGUGACUUACAAAGCCUUACUAAACACUUCCUAAAAAGGAGCUCACAUAUUUUGGGCUCCUUUAUUGCUUAUUCUGUUUAAUUUAGAUUUUCCUGUUCUGAUUGUAGCCUGUAUACCCCUGCAUGAGCCUCCUGUGUGUGAUUAGAGUUCAAUUUACAGAGCAGGUGAUAAACACUUAUAAAGUAUGUUAACAUCUGAUUGAAAAUUUUAUUUUUUUCUUUGCAUACAGGCGGUGUCAGUCACAGGCCUGCAUAAACAGAAACAAGAGUGAUUUAACUCCUAUCUGGCAGUGAAUUGAGCAGUGAGACAACAGUGGCAUGAUCUAUAAACCAAAACCGCUUCAUUAAUCUAAAGUGUUUUUGAUGCCUAUAGUAUCUCUAUAAUUCUUAAAUGCAG